GACGAACGCUGGCGGCGUGCUUAACACAUGCAAGUCGAACGGAAAGGCCUUGCUUGCGUGGGGUGCUCGAGGGGCGCAGGGGUGAGUAACACGUGUGUAACCUGCCCUACACUUGGGUAUACCUUCAGGAAACUGGGUCUAAUACGGUAUGAGAGCUCCUGCUGCGUGGUGGUGGUGGGAAAGUUUCGGUGGUUGGGGAUGGUCUCGCGGCCUAUCAGCUUGUUGGUGGGGUGGUGGCUCACCAAGGCGGUGACGGGUAGCCGGCCUGAGAGGGUGACCGGCCACAUUGGGACUGAGACACGGCCCAGACUCCUACGGGAGGCAGCAGUGGGGAAUAUUGCACAAUGGGCGGAAGCCUGAUGCAGCAACGCCGCGUGCGGGAUGACGGCCUUCGGGUUGUAAACCGCUUCCGCCUGUGACGAAGAGUGAGUGACGGUACUGGCUAAGGAAGCACCGGCUAACUACGUG
rnacentral:rRNA from 1 species